rnacentral:rRNA from 1 species
AGUGAACGCCGGCGGUAGGCCUAACACAUGCGAGUCGAACGGCAGCACAGUAAGAGCUUGCUCUUACGGGUGGCGAGUGGCGGACGGGUGAGGAAUACAUCGGAAUCUACUUUUUCGUGGGGGAUAACGUAGGGAAACUUACGCUAAUACCGCAUACGACCUACGGGUGAAAGCAGGGGAUCUUCGGACCUUGCGCGAUUGAAUGAGCCGAUGUCGGAUUAGCUAGUUGGCGGGGUAAAGGCCCACCAAGGCGACGAUCCGUAGCUGGCCUGAGAGGAUGAUCAGCCACACUGGAACUGAGACACGGUCCAGACUCCUACGGGAGGCAGCAGUGGGGAAUAUUGGACAAUGGGCGCAAGCCUGAUCCAGCCAUACCGCGUGGGUGAAGAAGGCCUUCGGGUUGUAAAGCCCUUUUGUUGGGAAAGAAAAGCAGCAGGUUAAUACCCCGCUGUUCUGACGGUACCCAAAGAAUAAGCACCGGCUAACUUCGUG